rnacentral:rRNA from 1 species
UACGGGGGGGGCAAGCGUUGUUCGGAAUUACUGGGCGUAAAGGGCGCGUAGGCGGCCCGCUAAGUCGAACGUGAAAUCCCCGGGCUCAACCCGGGAACUGCGUCCGAUACUGGUGGGCUCGAAUCCGGGAGAGGGAUGCGGAAUUCCAGGUGUAGCGGUGAAAUGCGUAGAUAUCUGGAGGAACACCGGUGGCGAAGGCGGCAUCCUGGACCAUUACUGACGCUGAGACGCGAAAGCGUGGGGGAGCGAACCGG